rnacentral:misc_RNA from 1 species
AGGCACAGAGGAAGCACCGCAGCACCUAGCUCGACUGCAAGGCCGAAAAGAAAUAUUUUAUCCUCUCUUCCCCCUUCCUGUCUUUUUCCUCAUUGAAUCUUUUCUUUUUCCCUCACAUCGACCAAAAUCCUUUAAGCAGGAAAACAUCCUACAAUAACGAAGUUUACAGAUAAGCAAACAAACCUGAGAGUUAAUUCCUAGAAAACUGUCCCAAUAGAAGUGCUUUAUGCUGAAACAAAGGGAUGCCACAUACGGAGUACGAGUACCAGGAGGGGCUCAAAGUACAGCUGGAAGGGAAGCUUAUUGCCCCCAACUAGGACCACUUCAGACGGCACGCUGAAGGUCAAUGCAGAACAUGGAUAACCUUGUCUUCUUCGGUGAAUUUUGUUUUCUCCAAUUCAGAAUUAUUUUGGCUAUUGGUCUGUUUCUUCUGCCCUCAGUUCUGUCUGGACUUUUUUUUUUUUUUUUU